AAAGAAAAGCCAAGCUGAAAUCAGCAGCUGCUUGUCUCAUAAAUGUUUGUGCACUUACUAAUUUAUAACACCCUCCUUGUGCUUGCCAGCAAGUAAGCAAUCCCAUCAAGCCUACUUUCCCUAAGGCUCCUCCUGUGCAGACUGUCAAUUAUCCACCCUCUGAAUGGGCCUGAGAAAAUCAUUUUAUUGGGGGCAAAUAUAAAAGGCAAAUCUGCAUGUUGACAUAAAAUCAAUUUAGUUAUACACAGGAUGACUUUUGCCCAAUUGCUUAAGCAAGCUAAAGGGAUCUUCUGUACUUUGAACCAUCCCACUCAGUUUUGCUUUCCUUACCAAAAGGCUGAGCUGACAAAGUUGGGUCUCUGACACUAAGAAACCAGCUGUGAAGGCUGCCCACUUGCCCAUCAGUACGGAACUGUGCAGGAAUGUGAACGGAUGCAACUGAAGAGGCCUACCCUUCGCCCUUGGUAUUUCUCAGUAACUUUUCUGAGUUUGAAUACAAGAGGGAACUUCUAUUUUUUUGUAAUGACGCAUUCCCCAGGCCCUGGCUCACGUUGCCCAGGUGAGAGGAGCACUGUACCCAGCCUCUGCCGGGCACAGCAAGACGUCCAUCCGCGGGAGCAACACAAAGCCUUAACCCAGCAGGCCCUCCCAGCACGCCAGCAUCAGGCAGCCCACAUUCACAUAAGCACCGCCACCAGCUGAGCUCAAACCGCCAGACACCAGGGUACGGGGCAUCGGCUGAGAAGCAGAUUCGUGUUUUAGAAAAACGGAGUUGCUAUCCUUCCUUUCUGCUUUCCUCCACCAUCUGCUGUGCUGAAGCAAGGUGUUCCUGUAAACAGCGGGGAAACACGGCCAUGGGCAGUCUAGGAAUCCAUUCAAAACCAUGGACAAAUGACAGCCACAGGUCAAAGCAAAGGUCCAUCUGCCCAAGAACAUCCUGCUCUGAUGACAGGCAAACUUCACAGAAGAAGUGAAGAAGAGGACAAGGUUGGAAGUCCUCCAGGACAUUUCUCUAGCCGGCAGCUGGUGCAAACACAGAUUUUUCUGAGAGAGAGGUUGGUAUUGUCACAAAAGGCUUUUUUUUUUUUUAUCAUUCCAUUUACAUUUGGAACCUUCAUAGACUUCUUGCAUUCUCCAAAGCAAGGAUGUGUGCAGGGGUCCCACGCUGCAAGCAGCUCUUGCACUGAGAGCAGUCCCUUUCACUUAGGCUGAACCUACACCUCGCUGGUCUCACCUGUGCAUCCUGUUUGUGGACUUCAGGGGACGCAGCAAGCAGCCCAUUCACCACUCCCUUUGCCACCCACUGCCUCACACGUUCUAGCUCAUCCCUCAAGAUUUUCUUCUGUGAUAGGCUUUCCCCAUUUUCCUGAUUCCUCAGAGCCCGUUCAUACAGCUGGGAACUGCGAAACUACAGCGCCUGAGCUCUUUUUAGAGGCCAGGGACAAACAUGGCUCUCUGG